rnacentral:tRNA from 1 species
GGCCUCAUGGUGGAGUGGUCAACACGUCUGACUUUCACUCAGAAGAUCGCCGGUUCGAACCCGGCUGAGGUCACCA